rnacentral:rRNA from 1 species
AGAGUUUGAUCAUGGCUCAGGACGAACGCUGGCGGCGUGCUUAACACAUGCAAGUCGAACGGGGUGUUUAUUUCGGUAAACACCAAGUGGCGAACGGGUGAGUAACGCGUAAGCAAUCUACCUUCAAGAUGGGGACAACACUUCGAAAGGGGUGCUAAUACCGAAUGAAUGUAAGAGUAUCGCAUGAGACACUUACUAAAGGAGGCCUCUGAAAAUGCUUCCGCUUGAAGAUGAGCUUGCGUCUGGUUAGCUAGUUGGUGAGGGUAAAGGCCCACCAAGGCGACGAUCAGUAGCCGGUCUGAGAGGAUGAACGGCCACAUUGGGACUGAGACACGGCCCAGACUCCUACGGGAGGCAGCAGUGGGGAAUCUUCCGCAAUGGGCGAAAGCCUGACGGAGCAACGCCGCGUGAACGAUGAAGGUCUUAGGAUCGUAAAGUUCUGUUGUUAGGGACGAAGGAUAAGAAUCAUAAUACGGUUUUUAUUUGACGGUACCUAACGAGGAAGCCACGGCUAACUACGUGCCAGCAGCCGCGGUAAUACGUAGGCGGCAAGCGUUGUCCGGAAUUAUUGGGCGUAAAGGGAGCGCAGGCGGGAAACUAAGCGGAUCUUAAAAGUGCGGGGCUCAACCCCGUGAUGGGGUCCGAACUGGUUUUCUUGAGUGCAGGAGAGGAAAGCGGAAUUCCCAGUGUAGCGGUGAAAUGCGUAGAUAUUGGGAAGAACACCAGUGGCGAAGGCGGCUUUCUGGACUGUAACUGACGCUGAGGCUCGAAAGCUAGGGUAGCGAACGGGAUUAGAUACCCUGGUAGUC